UCAUUUAUAUUUUAAAAUAUUUAUAUUAUACUAGAUAUAAUUUACUUCUAUAAUAUUACUAUCCAGGUUUAACAGUCUAUGCCUACAACAUAGAUCUCCAGGACUAAAAGUGCACAAAAUGGCAAUCAGUAUAUCACAAGUGUUAUAACACAUGCAUCUAAUCUGCUUCAGUGGCGAGAACUGGGUGAAUCCUCUCAAACAUUAAUCAGGAACUAGGCAUACCUAAUGAGCGUCAAGCUGAUACAGUAGAUGUACAUAAGAAUUUUUACACAAGGAAUUGAAAAGUGAUGUAAAAGGCAACUAAUACUUCCAUCUACCAUAGUUAAACAAGAAUCUGAAAAUGGUGAUAAUUGCAAUAAUCUUGAUAUAUUAAUGUUUGGCUUUAUAAUUAUAUGCAAUUGUCAGGUUUCAUAAAUAAAUUAUUUCUCAAAAUUUGA